rnacentral:RNase_P_RNA from 1 species
AGAGUAAAUUAAAUGGUCGCGUAUAGCAAGGUCGUAAGGCAGCGUACGAGGAAAGUCCGGGCUCCAUAAGAGCAAUGAUGCUGGAUAACGUCCAGUGGAGGAAACUCUAAGGAAAGUGCAACAGAAAAUAACCGCCAUGUCCUAGGGCUCCCACAAAACAUAGUUUUGUGGGAAAAAGGAAGAGCAAUGAAGAAAUAUAAUGAAUCGAAAUUUUUCGAUUCAUUGAUUUCGCAAUUUGCUCUGACGUGGUAAGGAUGAAAAGGUAAGGUAAGAGCUUACCGCAGGUAUGGUGACAUACUUGGUCAGUGUAAACCCCAUCUGGAGCAACACCCUGUAAUUCCAAGAAGGUUAAGAUGCUCUUUCGUCUUCUUGGGUUAGGUGGCUUGAGACGCAUAGUAAUAUGCGUAAUAGAUAAAUGACCAUUCACGACAGAACCCGGCUUACAGAUUUACUUUUUAU